rnacentral:rRNA from 1 species
ACAGGAUUAGAUACCCUGGUAGUCCACGCCGUAAACUAUGAAUGCUAGCUAUUGGCGAUACACAGUCAGUGGCACAGAGAAAUCGUUAAGCAUUCCACCUGGGGAGUACGCCGGCAACGGUGAAACUCAAAGGAAUUGACGGGGGCCCGCACAAGCGGAGGAACAUGUGGUUUAAUUCGAUGAUACGCGAGGAACCUUACCCGGGUUUGAACGCAGGGGGAAUGUGGUGGAAACAUUACAGCUAGCAAUAGCCGCCUGCGAGGUGCUGCAUGGUUGUCGUCAGCUCGUGCCGUGAGGUGUCGGCUUAAGUGCCAUAACGAGCGCAACCCUUAUUGAUAGUUACUAACAGGUAAAGCUGAGGACUCUAUCGAGACUGCCGGCGCAAGCCGUGAGGAAGGUGGGGAUGACGUCAAAUCAGCACGGCCCUUACAUCCGGGGCGACACACGUGUUACAAUGGUGGGUACAGAGGGUCGCUACCUGGUGACAGGAUGCUAAUCUCCAAAACCCAUCUCAGUUCGGAUCGGAGUCUGCAACUCGACUCCGUGAAGCUGGAUUCGCUAGUAAUCGCGCAUCAGCCAUGGCGCGGUGAAUACGUUCCCGGGCCUUGUACACACCGCCCGUCAAGCCAUGGGAGCCGGGGGGACCUGAAGUACGUAACCGCAAGGAGCGUCCUAGGGUAAAACUGGUGACUGGGGCUAAGUCGUAACAAGGUAACCAAGGGC